CUUUUUUAUAUUAAUGCACGCCAUUGCCAAAUGAAUUGCUACAAAUCUAAUGAAAACUGUCAGCUCAACACAUCUCUCUCUGGAUUUGUCAGCAUGGCUAUGUUCAGAAAAUGGUGGCGUCCGGCGACUUUUGCGCACAAA